rnacentral:other from 1 species
UUUCUGCCGCGUUCGACAGGCUGACCACUCAUUUGCCUUGGCCCAUAAUUCGACCCCGGGAUCGCAGUGUUGGCGGGUGCGCAAGUCCGUUACGAGCGGAAAGCCUAAAACGCCAACGAGCCUUCCCACCUGAUCCACAUGGAUCAAGGUCGAUGGUCAGCCAACGAACGCGGCGGUCGG